GUGAGGAAUAUUGCGCAAUGGAGGCAACUCUGACGCAGCCAUGCCGCGUGCAGGAAGAAGGCGCUACGCGUUGUAAACUGCUUUUAACCGGGAAGAAACCCCAGGACGUGUCCUGGGUUGACGGUACCGGAGGAAUAAGCACCGGCUAACUUCGUGCCAGCAGCCGCGGUAAUACGAAGGGUGCAAGCGUUAUCCGGAUUCAUUGGGUUUAAAGGGUGCGUAGGCGGAGCGUUAAGUCAGUGGUGAAAUCCUGCAGCUUAACUGUAGACUUGCCAUUGAUACUGGCGCUCUUGAGUGCGCUUGAAGUGGGCGGAAUGUGCCGUGUAGCGGUGAAAUGCUUAGAUAUGGCACAGAACACCAAUUGCGAAGGCAGCUCACUAAGGCGAUACUGACGCUGAGGCACGAAAGCGUGGGGAGCGAACAGGAUUAGAUACCCUGGUAGUCC
rnacentral:rRNA from 1 species